GCAGUGGUGGAUUAGUGGUAGAAUUCUCACCUUCCAUGCAGGAGACCUGGGUUUGAUUCCCAGCUAGUGCA
rfam:Loxodonta africana unplaced genomic scaffold scaffold_9, whole genome shotgun sequence.